CGAACGCUGGCGGCGUGCUUAACACACUGCAAGUCGAACGCGAAAGGGACUUCGGUCCUGAGUAAAGUGGCGCACGGGUGAGUAACGCGUAGAUAACCUGUCUUCAUGUCUGGAAUAAUACGCCGAAAGGGGUACUAAUACCGGAUAUUCUUGCUUUUCAUAAGUUAUGCAAGCAAAGGUGGCCUCUGCAUAUGCUACUGCAUGAAGAGGGGUCUGCGUACCAUUAGCUAGUAGGUGGGGUAAUGGCCUACCUAGGCGACGAUGGUUAGCGGGUCUGAGAGGAUGAUCCGCCACACUGGCACUGGAACACGGGCCAGACUCCUACGGGAGGCAGCAGUGAGGAAUAUUGCGCAAUGGGGGAAACCCUGACGCAGCGACGCCGCGUGAGUGAAGGAAGGCCUUCGGGUCGUAAAGCUCUGUCAAGAGGAAAGAAGUGUACAAUGGCUAAUACCUGUUGUAUUUGACGGUACCUCUAAAGGAAGCACCGGCUAACUCCGUGCCAGCAGCCGC
rnacentral:rRNA from 1 species